rnacentral:sRNA from 5 species
AUAUCUCUCCGUACGGGAAGGAUGAGAAGCUUCGACUAAGGUUCGAUUCGAGCGCAGCGAGAACGCGUUGCCGCAGGCAACGACCCGAAGGGCGAAGCGCGCAGCGCUGA